AUUGCGUGGCAGUAUCAUAUGCUUUUUGUUCUUAAAACAACGCCGAAACCCCCAAACCUGCAUCUUUAAGGAGUCAGAAGUUCUCUCAGCAUCUUUGGGACUAUGGUAUACCUGGUGCAAAUCUUACUUUUUGAU